ACUGACUAUUACGUACCCGGUAGUCCAGGGUGUAAACGCUGCAGACUUGGUGUUGGAAGUCCUUUGGGGGCAUUCAGUGCCGGAGAGAAGUUGUUAAGUCUGCUACUUGGGAGUACGUCCGCAAGGAUGAAACUUAAAGGAAUUGGCGGGGGAGCACCGCAACGGGUGGAGCCUGCGGUUUAAUUGGACUCAACGCCGGACAACUCACCGGGGACGACAGCAAUAUGUAGGCCAGGCUGAAGACCUUGCCUGAAUCGCUG
rnacentral:rRNA from 1 species